GUUUAAAUGUUUCAUAAAGCGUGCAUUGUUAUAUUUCGUAAAUGUAUAAACGAAGUGACACAUGCAAAUAAAUUCAAAAGAAAAGUACACGAGCAGGGAAAAAAAAAAAGGAAAAAAGUAGUUUCACACCACACACACACACACACACACACACACACACACACACACACACACACACACACACACCAGAAGAAUUACGCCAUGAAUCAUAAAAUCCAGUGCCUCUUCGUGUCGUCCCGGGAAGUCAUUAAAGCUGAUGAAGUUCAUUGUUGACUCACUGCACCUCUCAGCCUCGCCUCGCCUCGCUGCGGGAAGGGCAGGGUGAACCAUUCCUGCCCUGCGCUGCCCCGGGACUGCCUAGCGGCGGCAUCUUUUCCUCAGCGGUCCCUUCCCUAAUUCAUAAUGUUGAUAGUAAAGGAGAGGGGAAAUGUGCGUAUGGUGGAGUUCAGGAAGGGAUGGGUAGUGAUACAAUGAUACGUAGGGUAGGGUUAUGAAAGAGAUUGGUAGUGAUGUUUGCUACUCCUUUACUAAUUCAUAAUGCUAAUAGUAUAAGAGGGACACGUGUUUAAUUAGGGUGGAGUUUAGUGAUAGCGAUGACAUCCAAGUGUGAGUGGCAUGAGCGUCUCCUGUCAGGGCGUUCAAGGUCGAUGCGGAGACUGGCAGGGUGAGGCAUUAUUUAGAACGCGGUAUCGAAAGGGCAGUUUGAAGCUUCACCUCACUGUAACUCCACUCCUCGUCCUUCUGUUCUUUCAGUCAUUCUCUGCUGUCUUAACCUUCUCUCCCUGCCUCGCCAGACAUCGCCAGUAAACAGGUGGUAAUGUAGCUUGAGGCAAAGGGCUUACAUUAAGCUCUCGUCAAGAAGAGGGUGAAAAUUGACUAACAGGAGGAGGAUAGCGAGGUGAAGUUCCUUUCGGUCAGUGUUUGAGCCAAGAAUCGCGUCUGCAGUUGAUAAUGGUUCACGAUACUUUUUCUUGUCAGGGUUCUGGGUCGUCUCCUUGCUCUUGUUGAUCAGUAACAUUUUUCCGGUGUAACAAAGCAAUACUGAAUCCCGAAGGUUUAUAAGGCAUGGCAAUCCUGAACCGAAAAUCGGCACCACGCAUGAUUCUUCUGGGCUCGGCGGCACAGCCAGGCGUAUGACGCAGUGUGAGUUCUGCCGGGCUGAUUCUUCCCUAUACGGGCUUCCCUUGGCGCUCCUCGUUCUAUAAUACUCAAAUCGUUUCUUACUGCGUCUUAAAAGAUUAUAUUUGUGGUAUUAUAUAUCAGUUAGUAGCCUCUUGAUGGCUGUGAUCCAGCGCGACACGUUGGUACACUGCGCGGCGCUAACAGGUCACGGAGAGAGUUGACGCUCAGUGGCACUGAGCGAGUGAUGGGUGAUUGUGUGCGCGGCUUGCCCCUUUUCCGCCCGAGGAAGUUGAGGACCGACUUGUAACUAUGUAGCUUCGCCCUUAUAGUUUUUGAAAAAAAGUUAAUGCAGUGCAGUUGAUUACUACUGAAAUAGUACUCCAUGUUUUUACCGAGAUUAGUGUGGCGGGGAAUGUUGCAGAGUUGAUACAUGAAUGGGAGUUUUAGUACAAGCGAACAUUAGUUUGGCGACAACCACCUGUGAGUGUCUUGUGAUCGCGUAGUGCUGCCUCCAGGUGCUGGCAGGCCCCUGUGGUGAUGGGGGCCGCGCUGCACAUACUGCUGCUCAUCGCUCACGCAGCCCUCGCCGCCGCCACCAAGGCAGGUGUGUGACGGCCACUGCCUGCCUGCCUGCCUGCCUGCUGCUGCUGUUACUUUUACUGCCUGCCUCCUUGCUUCGUUAAGGCCACAGUCUGCUGAAGCUGCGCAAGGCUCGGCCAGACCAGCGGUGGGUUGGGGCAGCUGGCAUGGACAGUCGCAAGUAUCGCAUCUGUGGGGAGGCUGGCGCUGAGCUGACCAUUCCUGUCCCUACAGGCACCACCGUCUGGCUCGAGCAGCACCAGAAAUUGCUGGGGACACAUUGUGAAGCUGGAACUGAAGCUGUUGGCCGAUGUGGGUCUGGUGGGCUUCCCUAACGUUGGCAAGUCCACACUGCUGUGGGCCAUCUCCAGGGCCAGACCCAGGGUGGCCAGCUACCCCUUCACGACACUGCAGCCGACCCUGGGUGUGGUGGAGUACAGUGGCAUGUGGCGGCUGACCAUUGCUGACCUGCCAAGACUCAUCGAGGGCGCCUGGGCCAAUGUGGGGAUGGGGCACCGCUUCCUGCGCCACAUGGAGUAGACACACUUCCUCCUCUUUGUGGUGGACGUCAACGGCUUCCGGCUGUCACCCAAACAGCCAUACCGUUCACCCACCGAGAAUGUCAUGCUGGUCAACAAGACUAUGUGUUGUGUUGCUCCUGUGGUGCCAAACUCAGAGAACUCAUGGGAUAACUUUGUAAACAUCUCCAUUCCACUGUCUGAGGCAUCCCAGCUGGUGACCAUCCUGGGACACCCCCACCUCAUGGUCCAGACCCUCAGGAACCCUGCUGACCUUGCUUUUGACUUGGUGACUGUCAGGAGGUCAGGCUGCUCAGGAGUGGGAGAGGAUAUUUGAACCAGAAAGCAAAGCCAACACAACCCACUUCAAAGCUUCCUUGGAGGGUUUCUAUGGACUCAUUCUAGAGAAACUGGUCACUGAGAAAUUUUCAGAUUCCUCAUUGGCCUUCCCAAGCACCAGCAGUUU